GACGUAGGGCGCAAGCGUUGUCCGGAUUUAUUGGGCGUAAAGAGCUCGUAGGCGGCUUGUUGCGUCGUCCGUGAAAACCCGCAGCUCAACUGCGGGCUUGCGGACGAUACGGGCAGACUUGAGUACUGCAGGGGAGACUGGAAUUCCUGGUGUAGCGGUGGAAUGCGCAGAUAUCAGGAGGAACACCGGUGGCGAAGGCGGGUCUCUGGGCCGAUACUGACGCUGAGGAGCGAAAGCGUGGGGAGCGAACAGG
rnacentral:rRNA from 1 species